AAGGAGGUGGGGGGGCACUAUGUGUUGAAAUGCACAAUGCUAAUAAGUCACCAAGCAAUAAAAGGAGAAGUAAGAGAGAAAGACAAAAGGAUAAAGGCCAGAGAGAGAGAGAGAGAGAGGGAGAGAGGGAGAGAGAGGGUGAAGAGAACUGAAAGGCAGUAGCAAAAGUUAAAGCAGGGUCUUAAUGGACGGAUACAGUCUGAACAUGAAAUGGACUUGUAAUUUCUUGUAGUUUCUCUUAUGUAUGAUUCAUUAUUUCUAACAUUUAUUAUGCUCUACCUGGGGAACAGAUAAAAUGGCAAAUAUUGUGCACCUGCCUCUCAUUUGGAUUCUCUGUGUUUGUACAAGCUGCUUCAGUGGUGAGAUGUUUUAUCUGCCUUGCUCAGUAAUGGAUGAUAUUUUUGCUAAUUGUUUCCAUUCAUUGAACAUUACAUUACGUGACUUGUGUUCUCUAUUUGUGGAUGCAUCUAAUAUCAGCACAAUGUUUUUGUAAUAUUUCAUGCUUUCCACUAGAAUAUUUUUGCCCAAAGGGGGCAAAAAUUGACCGUGAUGGUUUACGCUGCUACUGGAUGCCCACAUUUAAGUCAACAUGGAUAGAAGCAAAAAGGAUCUGUCAGAGAGACGAGAGAGGAGACCUUGCUAUGGUGGACAGUGUGAUUGUACAGACCUUCAUUCAAAAUUCAUUCCAACUGUAAGAGAUCACAAGAUUUUCUAGGGUUUUGUGGGUGAGAUCACCUUUUUUUUCCCAACAUAAAAAUUUAAAAGUGUAAAUUUAAUGUUUAAACACAGAGCAUUGCAACUUCUGUAAUGGUUGAUCCUGUAUUUAUAUUUUACUUUUUGUAAAUUCCAGAGAAGCUCCAGUUGGGGUUUGGUUGAGAAAUGGAAUGGUACAGGGUCCAUUCUAUGAUUUAGAUACUAAAGACAGUGAGAUGAAGGAAUGUACUUCAAUGGCUUUGGCCUCUGGACAGUGGAAGAAUGAACAAUGUAAUAAAGAAAAUUUCAUUAUCUGUGAGAAAAAGAUAUCAGUGUCUUUGCCAUCGCUGGAGAGCUAUGUGACAGGUGUCCCACUAAUGUCAGGCAUAUACACAGUGUCCCGGAUACAACUGCUACCCUCUCCACCAGACGCAGGACAACAAAUGGUUGAGGUAAAAAUAACCAGGAGUUUACCCCAUAGCGUAAAACUCAAUGGGAGAGACUGUUUGAAAGGGAACGAAUCAUUUCAGACAAAGGGGUAUGAAGAAUAUGCAGAAUAUGCUCAUUGUUAAUUUUUCUGCAUAUGUGUUUAUUGAAAAUGUACAAAAAUGCAGGUUAAGUCAUGUGAUUGAGUAACAAUGUUUGUUGAUAAGUCAUGUUUAAAACACAGUUUAGUAAGUUUUUUAAAGCCAUUUGGUUUGUGCACAGAUUAUGUUGUUCCCAGGUCUUUGGUUCAGUCAUGAGGGUCGAGUCCUGUCUUUGGAUUUGGUGAUGCAGCCAAGUGAUCAGCUGACCUUUGCUAGAGUGCAAAUCUUACGGCCGUACUGCAGUCCAAGUCAUCACCUAGUACCACCUGGUGAGCAAAUUAAACACUAAUGAGAAAUACAUUUUUAACAGUUUAUCAAAUGAUCAGGUCAAGAUGUACAAUUUAUAAAACAUCUUCUCUCUCAGGCUGUAGUUCUCUCCUGAACCCUUUCAGCUGCUGUUCACUGAUGCCCAUGUGCAACACCACCGGUGGCUGUGCCAGUGGGCAGUACUGGUGUCACCUGCUGGAGAUCUGUCUGCCCGUCACCAGUCCGUGCAGCCCUUACCACUCCUUUAAUGGGGGACAUGUUUUACCUCUGCCUCCCCGCUACCCUGCGACGCCACCGUUCUUCCAUAUGAUGGCAGACAUGUCACUGACACUGACCCCAAGCACUGAACACACACACAUUAGUGUAGGUGGCAACACUUGACUUGUUGGCUCUUUUCGAAAACCUAAUAAGCAUAAGUAAAAAAGCAAAAAAGUUGUGAAUGAAUUAUUUCUCUUAAUUAAUUAAGAACUAAUUUAUAAUAAUUAUUUUACAGUUUUAACCUGUUUAUUAUCU
ensembl:lncRNA